UACGUAGGGUGCGAGCGUUGUCCGGAAUUAUUGGGCGUAAAGAGCUCGUAGGCGGUGUGUCACGUCGUUCGUGAAAACCUGCAGCUUAACUGUGGGCGUGCGGUCGAUACGGGCAUCACUGGAGUUCGGCAGGGGAGACUGGAAUUCCUGGUGUAGCGGUGAAAUGCGCAGAUAUCAGGAGGAACACCGGUGGCGAAGGCGGGUCUCUGGGCCGAUAUUGACGCUGAGGAGCGAAAGCGUGGGGAGCGAACAGG
rnacentral:rRNA from 1 species